UUUUGGUUGUCUUGUUUUACAAAUUUGUUUGAUUUGGAUCUAUGUGUUGGCUUGUUUGCAUCUAUUAUAGCACCUUUUGGAGGCUUCUUUGCCAGUGGUUUCAAAAGAGCCUUUAAAAUCAAUGAUUUUGGUGAUAGUAUACGUGGACAUGAUGGAAUUACAGAUAGAAUUAACUUCCAGGAAUUUGGACUUUUUGGUUUGAAGUCUAUGCUGCUUUGAGAUUUGUAUAUGUCUAUUCAUAGUUCAGAAUUCAAGAUUUUAUUUUACUUUUUUAGCUUUUUACUUUGUUUACUCCAAUGUUUGGUCGCUGAGAAAAAUAGAGGAAAAUGGAAAAAGGUAAUAUCAGUAAUGAAA